AGUGAACGCUGGCGGUAGGCCUAACACAUGCAAGUCGAACGGCAGCACAGUAAGAGCUUGCUCUUACGGGUGGCGAGUGGCGGACGGGUGAGGAAUACAUCGGAAUCUACUCUUUCGUGGGGGAUAACGUAGGGAAACUUACGCUAAUACAGCAUACGACCUACGGGUGAAAGCAGGGGAUCUUCUGACCUUGCGCGAAUGAAUGAGCCGAUGUCGGAUUAGCUAGUUGGCGGGGUAAAGGCCCACCAAGGCGACGAUCCGUAGCUGGUCUGAGAGGAUGAUCAGCCACACUGGAACUGAGACACGGUCCAGACUCCUACGGGAGGCAGCAGUGGGGAAGAUUGGACAAUGGGCGCAAGCCUGAUCCAGCCAUACCGCGUGGGUGAAGAAGGCCUUCGGGUUGUAAAGCCCUUUUGUUGGGAAAGAAAAGCAGCAGGUUAAUACCCCGCUGUUCUGACGGUACCCAAAGAAUAAGCACCGGCUAACUUCGUG
rnacentral:rRNA from 1 species